rfam:Echinostoma caproni strain Egypt genome assembly, scaffold: ECPE_scaffold0013775
CCACCGCUGACGAGUCCCAGACAGGACGAAACAGCUGUUCGGUGC